ACUGAUAUGAAGAACAAUUUUUUACCCACCUUUAAAUGUCUACUUUGAUGGACUGGCACUAGGGGGCAGUCUCUCUCUCCCAACACAGAAAGAGUGCUCGUGAUUUUUGUGAGAGUCCUCCUGAAUACCGAAUAUUAUUUUGCAGAUGUAAAAUAUGAAAUGAUCAAUUUGAUAUGAGUCUCCAGAGAAACCAAUGAGAUCUGUUGCUCUGAUGUGAUUUUGCAUUCGGAGACGUUGCAAUGAAAACUAGUCUUCUUGAAGUUUGAUAUUCUAUUUUCCCUUGACAAGGUUGGGUCAGGUGAAAAUAGUUUCAUAACUGCGAAAAGACACUGUGUGGUAGGUCUGCACUUGUGAAAUCCUCAUAACUGAAAAGCCAAAAUGCUUUUGUUUUGUGUACUUAGACCAAAACUAUAAUUCCAGUGCCUUAAUUAGACAAAUGGCAACACCACAAAAUGAGAGCAGACUGGAAGAACAGCCCAAAGGAAAACGCAACGCAUUAUCUUCAAGGAAGAGUGCUUUCACGGGCCAGAGGAUGUUCAGUGACACCGUUUGAACCACCAGGCCAUCAAAUGUCUCCUGAAGAAACACUGCAAACCCUCAUCAGACUUGCUGUAAACAUGAUACCAAAAGUUUCAAGCCUGUGGAGGACCUUUUCAAAGUCCCUUUCAAGGAAAGUCUGUUCACUCGGCGGCCAUAUUUGCAACCCCUUGUGUUCUUGCUCUACGUCAUCAUCAACCGUCAAAGUUCAGUUACAAUACUCAAGAACGCAAGAACAGAGGACAUAUGAAAGUACCCGGAUGUGUUCUUGAUAUCUAGGAUGCAUCGAAUGCAAAAAUCCCAGAAGAUGCUGCGGGCGGUCGACAUACGGAAGCCUGCAAGCUUUAAAGUUCUCUUAUGAGAUUCCCGCUACAAGCUCGCAAAUAUGUGGCGGCUCGUGAAGGUUAUGGAGUCAGUCACAGCAUUUUUCGGCUACGAGUGAAACGCAGGGCGGCGGUCUGAAGUUAGCAGUUCCCCCACCGAACGCGAGCCAUCUCCACCACGAGAUCCAGCACCGUUACAGUGGAAACAGGACAACAGAGACUGGUCGAUUACACUUGAAUUACUUCUAAACGUUUAAUUUUUCUUCUAAAAUUUGUUAAACGAGCUUAAAUGUAGGAAAUAUGUAUUAAAAUCUAUAUAAAAUAUGCUAUACUGUAAAAUAUGAUCAGCAAUAUGCUGGGUUAAAUCAACCCAUUAUGCUGUGUUAAAUAAACAACCCAAUUUUUGGGUAAAUUGGGUAAAAUUAACCCAACAUGUAUUCUGUCCUGUAUUUACCUAGCCCUUGGGUUGAAAACAACCCAAAUUGGGUUGUUUUUAACUCAGUGUUUUUUAGAGUGUAAUUUUUUAGAAGUAGAGGUAUAACAUUUUUGCUGAUUUAUUUAUUUUGUAGAAAAGGUACAUCACCAUUUUGCUCUGACUGGCAUCGUCAUAACAACUUCCCAACUCAUAAAUACGAAUUUCCCAGGAGAACACACCACAUAUACUAACAGAGCCAAACCUGGCUUAGCUUUGGAGAUCAGGUGAGCACAGUUUACUGCUGUUACAUUGGUGCAGCUGCUUUUCCCCAAACUAGCAGGUAGACUGCUCAUUAUUAUAAGGAACAUUUCUUAUUAUAAGGAAUAUUCCUUAU